ACCUAUAUUUUAUAAAUUAAUGGGUUGAUUUUCAGUGAUUUUUUUAUAUUAUUACUAUGAAGGGUGUUGUUCUUCAAUCACCACCACAAACCACCACCGCUCUCUCUAAUCGCUGUUUGAAAAAAGCCUCUUAUAUAGUUUUGUUUAUUUGAUCAUGAUCCAUUUAUAUGUGUUUGUGUGUGUGUGUGUGUGUGUGUUAUCAUUGAACAAGAUGUUCUUUUUAUGUGAAAAGCACGUUUUCUAGAUGCAAAAACCGCAUCUUUUGACAUAUAAACCAAACUGAGGAUUCCUUUCAUCAUAAGAAAUCAUUUAUGUUUCGAUUGAAACCUUAUAUUUUGAGUUAUAAUAAGUUUUCAAUGGAUCAAAUCCACUCCCGUGGGAACAAAUUGUUGAUUUGAGUUAUAAACCCCAUCUUCCUGUUAUUGAGCCACUAUAUUGGUUUUCAACAUCAACAACUAAAUCACAACCCCUGUCUCUCUCUCUCUCUCGCCGGAUUCAUCGCCCCCAACCACUGCAUUUUUUCCCGCUUCAAUGAACACCGCGAUCCCGCUGUCAUCCAUCAUCAUCUGCGUCAAGCGUCACCGUCGUUUAUCAUCACCGGUGCCCAUCAUCAUCUGCAUCUGCAGCCAUAUUCCCCAAUUUUCAUCUUUCGAUGUUAAGUUUCUGGUCGCUCGAUGAUAUUGAUUUAGCAUAGUUAUUGAUUUUUUUUUAUCCUUAUUAUUUGAGUAUUUAAGUUGGAUGUUAUAUGCGAUGAUUGGAUUAAUGGGAUUUUUGAUUAUUUUUCCUUGGAUUUUACAUCAGCUGAUUGACACACGUAUUUGUUAGAUGUGACCCCAAAUUUGGUUCAAUUGAGCUGCGAUAUAAUGUCUUGGUUGAUUGCGGGUAUCGUUGAGUGUGUCUAUAAUUGUCCCGAUUUUUGUGUUUGACUAUGCUCAUUGUUUGUUUAUCUCUUGGUUGAUUGCGGGUAUUUUUUAAACAUAUUAUAUUUUUAUAAUUCAUUGGUGACUUUAUUUACCGUUUAUGUCAAUAAAAAAUGCAUUUUGAAAGUAAAAUAGUUGGAAAGUUUUAUGCCUUCAAAUUAAAUUUAUGAAAAGUUUGUUGGUUUCUAAAUAUUGGAUCUUGAUUUGAAAUUUUUGAAUGUUGGUUUCUAAAUCUUUGUCAUGGCUAAUCUACAACAAGCCAGCAAGUAGUAUUAUUUUUCAUCUUCUAGCAUAAAAGUCAUAUAUUUGGGUUACGAAAGACCGCUAGGCGGAAGACAAAAUUUAUAUCAUCAAAUGAAUUGAGGUUUGAUUGUAGGUUUGUAUUUGUUCCCUUAGCAAUCCUGACUUCAGAUCCAGCAUUCAUUUCGAAUCCCCCGUCAGUAUUUUCUAAAUGAACUCAAUUAACUAUUUUGGUGAAAACUCAUAUUAUAUGGUUUACUGAACUAUCUAAAUAAUGUUGAUGAUACAGGCUAGAGAAUGCAUAUGAUCCGGCAACAUCGAACCUGGUUGCAAGUAGCAAUAUUUUUUGUGUAUUAUUGUGAAAAUGCGUUAAUUUAUCAAUCACUAUUUUGUUUUCCAUUUUGUACAGUUAUGGGUGAUGAAGAAAUGUUGCAUGUCCCUCCAGGAGUUUAGAAUAUCAUGAAAAGCCAUAUCCAACCAAGGCUUGCAUGUUUUACUUUGCUGCAUGAGUCACCUGUUGGCUUGCUGCACCAUGAGUCAAUUUGCUGCAACCAGGCCUUGCCUUUCAAAUCAAACACACUUUCAAUUCGAUGAGUUUUAGUUGAAUGAGAAAAAGUUUAUUUCUUCAUAGAUGGAAAGCACAAUCGCUACAAGCUUGUUAACCGAGACUUUUUGUUGUUGUUGUUGUUACAAGUUGCAGGGCAUUGAAACAAGUCUCAAAUUUAUUUAGGUGCUAAUGACAUUAAAUCUAUUUUACUUCUAGAAGGGACAUUUCGUGUAAAAUAGUAUGUAAACAAUCAAUACAUGUUAAAGUCAUUUGUAAUAGAUGUCCAGUAUGUGAGAAUGAUCAUGGAUACAAGCAAGCAA